AAAAAAAAAUUAAAUGAACGCCCAAUAAAUGCGUUCAUUUUUUGAAUGAACGUGAACGUGAACACGUUCGUUUGAAAAAAACAGGAACGUGAACGCGAACGAGUUCCUUUUUUAAGUACUGAACGUGAACGUGAACGAGUUCAUUUUUUUAGUGAACGUUCCGAACACUGAAAUAAUGUAAUA